UCCUUCUCAUUCUCACGAACCACCGCCCAUCUCCCAUGCAGUUCGCGAACUGCUCCUCUCCCGCUCAUUCACAUAGAGAAAACGUCUCCCAGAACCGAACCCCCAGCCCGUCGUUUCUCCUAAUUCGCAAACCCGUUACUUCCCUGUGCCGCAAGAAGCCAAAGCCCAACCUAAACCCAUUCGCAAGAACCGACCGCACCUCCAUCUCACGGGUCUCCCACGACGAUCUCUGGUCUUAGCUCUAGCCGACGCAAGCAAUCUUCUCAAUCUUGGAAGGAGAAGAAAAAUAUGCAAGAUUGAAAAUAGAGAGAUGUUUCUUUCUCUUCCAAAAUAGCUUUCUCUUGCCUCUAAUAGCUAUAUAUUUUCAUUAUCGUCUUUAGGAUCUUGUUGAUAAUGAAGAUAAUGAUUUUUGCUUUUAUUUAAUAUAGGAAUGGUGAUUAGUUUUCCCAUUUCAAUUUGAUGAA